rnacentral:rRNA from 1 species
GGGGGAUAUUAGGCAAUGGGGGAAACCCUGACCUAGCGACGCCGCGUGAAGGAAGAAGGUUUUCGGAUUGUAAACUUCUUUGACGAGGGACGAUAAUGACGGUACCUCGAGAACAAGCCACGGCUAACUACGUGCCAGCAGCCGCGGUAAUACGUAGGUGGCGAGCGUUGUCCGGAUUUACUGGGUGUAAAGGGCGAGUAGGCGGGACGGCAAGUCAGAUGUGAAAUACGGAGGCUCAACCUCCGGGCUGCAUUUGAAACAGCUGUUCUUGAGUGAUGGAGAGGUAAGCGGAAUUCCCGGUGUAGCGGUAAAAUGCGUAGAUAUCGGGAGGAACACCGGUGGCGAAGGCGGCUUACUGGACAUCAACUGACGCUGAGGCGCGAAAGUGUGGGGAGCAAAC